rnacentral:rRNA from 1 species
UACAGAGGUCUCAAGCGUUGUUCGGAUUUACUGGGCGUAAAGGGCGCGUAGGCGGUCGUUACAAGUCACUUGUGAAAUCUCCGGGCUUAACUCGGAACGGUCAAGUGAUACUGUCGGACUAGAGUACAGAAGGGGCAACUGGAAUUCUCGGUGUAGCGGUGAAAUGCGUAGAUAUCGAGAGGAACACCUGCGGCGAAGGCGGGUUGCUGGGCUGAUACUGACGCUGAUGCGCGAAAGCCAGGGGAGCGAACGGG